rfam:prion protein [mink, Genomic, 2446 nt].
CCACGGGGGUGGCUGGGGUCAGCCCCACGGGGGUGGCUGG